rnacentral:rRNA from 1 species
AGUGGCAGACGGGUGAGUAACAUGUAGGUAUCUGCCCUUUGGCCUGGAAUAACACGAGGAAACUUGUGCUAAUACCGGAUAAGUCUUUACGGAGAAAGCUUUAUGCACCAUUGGAUGAGCCUGCACUUGAUUAGUUUGUUGGUGGGGUAAUGGCCUACCAAGACUGUGAUCAAUAGCUGAUUUGAGAGGAUGAUCAGCCACAUUGGGACUGAGACACGGCCCAAACUCCUACGGGAGGCAGCAGUGGGGAAUCUUGCACAAUGGAGGAAACUCUGAUGCAGCGAUGCCGCGUGAGUGAAGAAGGCCCUUGGGUUGUAAAGCUCUUUCGUCGGGGAAGAAAAUGACUGUACCCGAAUAAGAAGGUCCGGCUAACUUCGUGCCAGCAGCCGCGGUAAUACGAAGGGACCUAGCGUAGUUCGGAAUUGCUGGGCUUAAAGAGUUCGUAGGUGGUUGAAAAAGUUAGUGGUGAAAUCCUAGGGCUUAACUCUGGAACUGCCAUUAAAACUUUUCAGCUAGAGUAUGAUAGAGGAAAGCAGAAUUUCUAGUGUAGAGGUGAAAUUCGUAGAUAUUAGAAAGAAUACCAAUUGCGAAGGCAGCUUUCUGGAUCAUUACUGACACUGAGGAACGAAAGCAUGGGUAGCGAAGAGGAUUAGAUACCCUCGUAGUCCAUGCCGUANACGAUGUGUGUUAGACGUUGGAAAUUUAUUUUCAGUGUCGCAGGGAAACCGAUAAACACACCGCCUGGGGAGUAC